rnacentral:rRNA from 1 species
AGAGUAGAGUUUACUAGUCUUGAAAAAUAAAAUUGCUUGGCGGCCUAUUAACUAUACAGAGAAUCAUGUUUUUUAAUGGAAAUUACACAUAUAUCUUACCUAUUGUGAAUUGACAUUUGGUACACCGCCGUCGGAAGAGUAGUUUCUAAGAACUGUUCUAUUUCUAUAUUAAGAAAUAAGUCAGGUCAAAGCACCGACUAUCGAUAGGUUACAAUGUGUUUCAAUAUUAUUAUUAUGUUUCAAAAUCUUAAUUACAAAAGGUUUAAAUACUGAAUUAGAAUAAUUGAAUCUGUAAGUAA